GUCUUGCUCCGAAUUUCAGCGCGGCCAGGCUGCCAGCGCGCGUCCGUCCAUCUGCAAGGCUUUAGAGCGAGGGGGACCACCGGGGAAAGCAAGGCACCGUCCCUCAAAAUCUCCGCGUCCUAAGGGACAACGAAGAAGCGGCGAGCGAGGGAAGCUGUUCCCUGCUGGACCCGGCGCAGCGAGACUGGGCGGCGGGCGGAGGAAGCGUUGCCUGCAACAGUUGUGGUUGUCAAGCAAGACUGAAGAGCUGCGAUUUGCAUUCUUGGAGCGCCCAGCCCCUGCUCCGGGUCCCCUGUGUCGGCUUCGAUGGACGAGCAGGACCAUGGGAAGGAUCAUUACACGGGUUGAUGUCAGCCCACUGGGGAUGCCAGGCUGGCUACAUCCCUUCUGCUGAGCAUCUCCAAUGUGGGCUAGAGUUUACCCGAGUUACACCCGGAGAUGGGACUGGUCACGUUUCACCUAGGACUUGGUCUUUCUCCCUCGGACACCAGAGCUGCCACCCGCUUUUUAGCCCAGGAGUGUAUAUUCUACCCUCUUAUCUAUAGCGCUAAGAGUUUGAGGACAGGCAAAAAACCAACACACCCCGGGGGGCGUCAGGAGGCAACAGGGAGAGAGAUUUUCACCCAAGGGAAGGCGGCCUCCGCGUCGAGGAGAAGCGGAAGCGGCGCUGGCUCGCACGGGAAAGCGGAGCGUGGGCCCGGGCCGAGCGUGUCACCGCGGCAUCCUGCCUCCUCGCCUCGCCUGAUGCCUCCCGCUAGCCGGUGACAGUGAUGGAUGACGGUGGAGAAGGUCUAAGCCAAACUGCUCACCAGCGCUGCCUUAGAUCUUUCCGUAGCUCAGGAAACAAAGCUGAUAAGAUCAAGAGACAACAUAAUCCCAGCUAAUGGAGAGCGAUCUGUCUUGGGCACCGUAAUCGGCAUUACGCAGGCUCGUACCUCCAACCCGCCGUGGUAUUUGUAGGCGUGGAAAGAAAACCUCAUUGCACUUUCAAAGAAGUUGGGGGGCUGGGGGUUUGUUUGUUCUCUUUGUUUUAGAUACAACGCUGAUGUGCCUUCCAGAGGCCGUGCCAAUGUCUCCUCCCGAUCAGCGGAGACUAACUCGGAAAUGAAGCCUGGAGGCCCAGCACCCACACACCGCCCCCCACAGUUUCACUUUUCCUUCUGUUCUGCUCUGGCUCUUUCCAGUCCUCAGAGAUGAACGUCCAAGAGAGACGAGACAAGGAGACCUUGUUCUGAAAGGUUAGAUCAUUGCCUUGCGCUCAGGACCACGGGGGGAAACACCUUGGCCCUUCAAACGCCCUCGGGAAGGAGGUAGAAGAACAUUAUGUUUUGUUAUUUGCUGGGUAUCACUUUCUUUCCUCCUGAGGUUAUUUUCAUUAUAUGUUUAUUGCCCAGAAGGCGUGUACUAGGUAAGACAGGACAACAUGUUCAGUCAACAAGUGAGCUCAGAGGGCAAAGGCAGAGGGGAGCGUGGAGCGUGCAGUCCCGGGACUGACUGUCCGAGUGUAAAGCGCCGUCUGGUUCUCUGUGUGCAGAAGUGGGUUUAGAGGUCGAGGUGGGCCCGGCAUGCUCCUCAUGGGUAAAGCUUGCUAAUGUCCCCAAAGUCGGAAGCUAUUCUGCGACGGCUUUAAUCAGCCUGAAGUUUAAAAUUACGCUUCAGUAAAGAACAUCUACAAGAUCUUUUUUUAAAAAAGGCAUACACUGUGGUGUCUACUCAUAUGCACAAAAAGUGUCAAAGUGGUUUCAUCCAGAGAGCUCCUAAGCAACAUGUCCUUGUCUCCCUUUCACUGAAAGGAAGCAUUUCAAUGUGAAUACAUUUUUUUUGGUUAGGUUAUUAGAUUUUCUUCGGAUUGCACAUGAUUAUAAUACUUGGGUGAGAUUAGGAGCUGCUCUGGAUCUGCCUCUAUGGGGUAAAAAUCUUACGAAAAUUGAACAAAUGCAAAGGAAAGUAAAAACAGUCACGGUACUGCCCCAAACUUGCCCGAAGAUAAUAAUGAUCACUGCUUAUAAAUGCAUGUUUGAGGUCUGCUUGAAUACGACCCUUGCAAAAAAGAGAAAAGUUAUUAUCUUGAAGGGAACUCCGUAGCGCCUAGGAAUCGCUCUGGCCGUCUGCAGCGAACUAAGCCCUUCACCUCACCUCUGAACGCGCUGAUCCACCCCCAACUCCGCACCUAAUUAGAGGGGACCGCGGAGCUGUCCUGGGCAGGGAGGUAGGGAUUAGGGUUAAGAAAACACUUGUAUUUGGAACCCCCUACCUCCCCUGGUCAGUGUGAAAGAUUCUCAAAGAAUCUCCCAGCCUCGCUAAUCCGUGACCCUCAGCAGGGAGGAAGUGUUAACAAUUUAGUUUAAAACUCACACUCUCAGACAAAUGCAUCAAAAACGGCUUUUCUCCUUUGAUUUGUAGGUAUUAGUUGUUUUUCCAGGCCCCAUUAAGGACUCUUCAUCCCCUAGGCAAGGGGCAUUAAGCCCUCGCCAGUUAGAGUUGUUCCCAGCUUUGUGUUUUUCAAAGGCAAUUUACACUAAUUAUUUGAGUCCACAGCGUCACCCAUAUUAGCGGAAUGAACCAUCUCAGCAGGUAAAAGUACUUUUGAAAUGUUAAUUUAUUACUAAGGUAUAAAAAUGUCCUUGAAUUUUUAAAAAAAAAAACCCACAACAUAAAAACCUUAACUAGCCUGUUUAAAAGAUGGGACUGAGACAUUCUGUCCCCUUUUUAUUUGCACCUACUCCUUCAUAAUUGCUUGUCUUUUAAAAACACAGGUUGUCAGGGCGCCUGGCGAUGCGCCGUCGGGCAUCCGGGCAGCACAGGGUCUGG